CAUUACAUUACAAAUAUGUGAACCAAACGGUACUAGAUGUAUUUGGCGUGAAGAGGUCGAUGCGACCGCGCGCUCAGCUGCAGUCUGCACACCUCACCGCUCACCUCCUCGUCGGUUCGGUCGGUCGGCUGUGUCGUGUCGCUCUGUGCCACCCCACCAGCCUCCCUCCCCCUCUUCUACUCCUGGAUCGGCCCAGCUUCUUUAAUUCCCUUCCUUCGCCUGGCCGCGACCAGUACCACCCACCGCUCGCUCUCGCUCCCAGGCCUCCUGCCGCCCGGCCCGCGCCGCGCCAUGGAAGAGCCGCCGCCGGGGAGCAGCAAGGCCGCCGCGGCGCGCGCGCCCCGGGUGGUGGGCGUGCUGGCGGGGCUGCUGGAGCGCGCGGCGGAGCGCGGCGACACGGCGACGCCGACGCUGGCGGACUCGGCGUUCCGGGGCCGCGCGCUGCCGGGGAUCCCCGUGCGGCGGUACGCGGAGCGGAUAUACCGGUACGCCGGGUGCAGCCCGGCCUGCUACGUCCUCGCCUACGUCUACCUCGACCGCCUCGCGCGGGGCCAAUGCGACGCCGGCGCCGGCGAGGACGAGGACGAGGACGAGGCGGCGGUUGUCGGCAUCGACUCGUACACCGUCCACCGCCUCCUCAUCACCUCCGUCUUGGUCGCCGCCAAGUUCAUGGACGACAGGCACCACAACAACGCCUACUUCGCGCGGGUGGGCGGCGUGGAGGUGGCGGAGAUGAACGCGCUGGAGCUGCGCCUCCUCUUCGCCCUGCGCUUCCGCCUCAACGUCGCCCCCGACACCUUCGCGCGGUACUGCGCCGCGCUCGAGUGCCACGUCGACACGCCCGACGCCGGCGGCCCCGUGCCGCGGAUGCCGCCCUCCUCCCACGUCGACGGCGAGGAGGCAGUGACCAGCAGCAAGGGCAAGGUUGCCGCCGCCGGUGGCGGUUCCGUCGUCGUCCAGCGUAGUCACCGUCAGCGGAGAGCCGUGGUACAGAUCAUGACGACGGCCCAAUGACGACGACGGACGGCCUAGGUCGACGUACGGGAG
rnacentral:misc_RNA from 1 species